UACGUAGGGUGCGAGCGUUGUCCGGAAUUAUUGGGCGUAAAGAGCUCGUAGGCGGUUUGUCGCGUCUGCUGUGAAAGACCGGGGCUCAACUCCGGUUCUGCAGUGGGUACGGGCAGACUAGAGUGCAGUAGGGGAGACUGGAAUUCCUGGUGUAGCGGUGAAAUGCGCAGAUAUCAGGAGGAACACCGAUGGCGAAGGCAGGUCUCUGGGCUGUAACUGACGCUGGAGG
rnacentral:rRNA from 1 species